CAGGGAAUAUUGCGCAAUGGGCGAAAGCCUGACGCAGCAACACCGCGUGAGGGAAGAAAGCCUUCGGGUUGUAAACCUCUUUUGUUAGGGAAGAAAAAUGACGGUACCUAAUGAAUAAGCCACGGCUAACUACGUGCCAGCAGCUGCGGUAAUACGUAGGUGGCAAGCGUUAUCCGGAUUCACUGGGCGUAAAGAGCGCGUAGGUGGUCCUUCAAGUCAGGUGUUAAAUAUUCCGGCUUAACUGGAAAAUGCCGCCUGAUACUGCUGGACUUGAGGACGGUAGAGGGAGGUGGAAUUCCCGGUGUAGUGGUGAAAUGCGUAGAUAUCGGGAGGAACACCAGUGGCGAAAGCGGCCUCCUAGGCCGUUCCUGACACUGAGGCGCGAAAGCGUGGGGAGCGAACAG
rnacentral:rRNA from 1 species